GACGAACGCUGGCGGCGUGCUUAACACAUGCAAGUCGAACGGUAAGGCCCUUCGGGGUACACGAGCGGCGAACGGGUGAGUAACACGUGGGUGAUCUGCCCUGCACUUCGGGAUAAGCCUGGGAAACUGGGUCUAAUACCGGAUAGGACCACUGCCUGCAUGGGUGGUGGUGGCAAGCUUUUGCGGUGUGGGAUGGGCCCGCGGCCUAUGAGCUUGUUGGUGGGGUGAUGGCCUCCCAAGGCGGCGACGGGUAGCCGGCCUGAGAGGGUGACCGGCCACACUGGGACUGAGAUACGGCGCAGACGCCGACGGGGGGCAGCAGUGGGGAAUAUUGCGCAAUGGGCGCAAGGCUGAUGCAGCGACGCCGCGUGAGGGAUGACGGCGUUCGGGGUGUAAACCUCUUUCAGCACCGACGAAGCGCAAGUGACGGUAGGUGCAGAAGAAGGACCGGCCAACUACGUGCCAGCCGCCGCGGUAA
rnacentral:rRNA from 1 species